AUUGAACGCUGGCGGCAUGCCUUACACAUGCAAGUCGAACGGCAGCACGGGAGCAAUCCUGGUGGCGAGUGGCGAACGGGUGAGUAAUAUAUCGGAACGUGCCCAGUCGUGGGGAUAACGUAGCGAAAGCUACGCUAAUACCGCAUACGAUCUAUGGAUGAAAGCGGGGGAUCGCAAGACCUCGCGCGAUUGGAGCGGCCGAUAUCAGAUUAGGUAGUUGGUGAGGUAAAGGGCUCACCAAGCCGACGAUCUGUAGCUGGUCUGAGAGGACGACCAGCCACACUGGGACUGAGACACGGCCCAGACUCCUACGGGAGCAGCAGUGGGGAAUUUUGGACAAUGGGCGCAAGCCUGAUCCAGCAAUGCCGCGUGAGUGAUGAAGGCCUUAGGGUUGUAAAGCUCUUUUACCCGGGAUGGAUAAUGACAGUACCGGGAGAAUAAGACUCCGGCUAACUCCGUGCCAGCAGCCGCGGUAAAGUA
rnacentral:rRNA from 1 species